AUUGAACGCUGGCGGCAUGCCUAACACAUGCAAGUCGAACGGUAACGCAGAGAGCUUGCUCUUUGGCGACGAGUGGCGGACGGGUGAGUAAUGCUUAGGAAUCUGCCCAGUAGUCGGGGGACAACUCGGGGAAACUCGAGCUAAUACCGCAUACGCCCUACGGGGGAAAGCCGGGGGAUCUUCGGACCUCGCGCUAUUGGAUGAGCCUAAGUCGGAUUAGCUUGUUGGUGAGGUAACGGCUCACCAAGGCGACGAUCCGUAGCUGGUCUGAGAGGACGAUCAGCCACACUGGGACUGAGACACGGCCCAGACUCCUACGGGAGGCAGCAGUGGGGAAUAUUGGACAAUGGGGGCAACCCUGAUCCAGCAAUGCCGCGUGUGCGAAGAAGGCCUGCGGGUUGUAAAGCACUUUCAGUAGAGAAGAAAAGCUUACGGUUAAUACCCGUGAGUCUUGACGUAACCUACAGAAGAAGCACCGGCUAACUCCGUG
rnacentral:rRNA from 1 species